UUAAAGACCAACUGAAGAGGUUUUUUUCGAAAUUGAGAUAGCGAUUGAUUUAGAUAGUAGAUAGCAUCAAAGUUAGUUCCUAAAAAUUUGAGAUUUUAGAAAAGCGUAUUUAUAUUAGAAAAAGUAAUUUGAAAGUGUAAAAAAUAACGAGAUUUGAAAAUCAGCUUCAAUGGCCGAAACCGGAAGUGACGUAUUGUAAUGGACUGAGAAAAUGUAAAUAAAAAUAGACAUGGCUGGAUACGUUAUUGAUAGCGAUUCAGAUGAAAAACUUAUCUAAAUCUAGCUGUCCAACAGUUUUAAAUGAUACUUAUCAUGGGAUUCACCAAAAUGCCAUGAAGAGAACUCUUCUACUUUUUCAAAAUAUAUUCUAGAGCAGACUAUUGAAUUAAUAUAAUUAUAGAUAGAUUAUAAUAAUAGGACUAGCUAGUCACUAGAUUGUCACUAGACGUGACUAGAUCACUAGAUCUACUACUCAGAUCUAGACCUAGUCUACUCUAGUAGUAGUCUCUAGUAUCAUCAAGUACUAGUAGAUCAUCUAGGACUAGGUCUAGAAAACAUAUAUGACAUGUGGCGUACAGACAAGUUUACUAGAUGGAUCUUUCAUCAUUUUGGAAAUACAAUAUUCCCUGUGAAACAAAUCACAGAAACAUUCUACAAUUUUAUUUUAUAUAAUAAAUACCAAUAAAUGUAAAUACAAAAUCACA